rnacentral:rRNA from 1 species
GAUGAACGCUGGCGGCGUGCCUAAUACAUGCAAGUCGAGCGACCGGACGAGAAGAUUGCUUUCUUGCUGUUAGCGACGGACGGGUGAGUAAGAAGUGGAUAGCCUUCCUCUUUUUCUGGGAUAAUUUCGGGAAACAGGUUCUAAUAAUGGCUCAUAUUAUGAACCGCUUGAAUCAAAAGUGCUUGACGCUCUUGCCGUCUCUAUUAGCUGAAUUCGCGUUGCAUUAGCUAGUUGGUAAGGUAACGGCUUACCAAGGCAACGAUGCAUAGCCGACCUGAGAGGAUGAUCAGCCACACUGGAACUGAGACACGGUCCAGACUCCUACGGGAGACAGCAGUGGGGAAUCUUCCACAAAGGGCGAAAGCCUGACGCAGCAACGCCGCGUGAGUGAUGAAGGUCUUCGGGUCGUAAAGCUCUGUUGUUGGGAAAGAAAAGAUGUAUAAUUAACUGUGCACAUCUUGACGGUACCUAAACAAAAAGCCACGGCUAACUUCGUG